rnacentral:rRNA from 1 species
GACGAUCGCUGGCGGCGUGCUUAACACAUGCAAGUCGAACGGAGAGGCCCUGCUUUUGUGGGGUGCUCGAGUGGCGAACGGGUGAGUAACACGUGAAUAACCUGCCCUUGACUUUGGGAUAACUUCAGGAAACUGGGGCUAAUACCGGAUAGGAGCUCCUGCUGCAUGGUGGGGGUUGGAAAGUUUCGGCGGUUGGGGAUGGACUCGCGGCUUAUCAGCUUGUUGGUGGGGUAGUGGCUUACCAAGGCUUUGACGGGUAGCCGGCCUGAGAGGGUGACCGGCCACAUUGGGACUGAGAUACGGCCCAGACUCCUACGGGAGGCAGCAGUGGGGAAUAUUGCACAAUGGGCGGAAGCCUGAUGCAGCAACGCCGCGUGCGGGAUGACGGCCUUCGGGUUGUAAACCGCUUUCGCCUGUGACGAAGCGUGAGUGACGGUAAUGGGUAAAGAAGCACCGGCUAACUACGUG